AGCAGCCGCGGUAAUUCCAGCUCCAAUAGCGUAUAUUAAAGUUGUUGCAGUUAAAAAGCUCGUAGUUGAAUUUCGGGGUUAGCAAGUUGGUCAUGCCUUCGGUAUGUACUGGCUUUGCUGAUUCCUCCUUCUUGAAGAACUGUGAUGCUAUUAAUUUGGUGUUGCAGGGAAACAGGACUGUUACUUUGAAAAAAUUAGAGUGUUUAAAGCAGGCUAACGCUUGAAUACAUUAGCAUGGAAUAAUGAAAUAGGACGUUUGAUCCUAUUUUGUUGGUUUCUAGGAUUGACGUAAUGAUUAAUAGGGAUAGUUGGGGGCAUUAGUAUUCAAUUGUCAGAGGUGAAAUUCUUGGAUUUAUUGAAGACUAACUACUGCGAAAGCAUUUGCCAAGGAUGUUUUCAUUAAUCAAGAACGAAAGUUAAGGGGAUCGAAGACGAUCAGAUACCGUCGUA
rnacentral:rRNA from 1 species